rnacentral:misc_RNA from 1 species
AGUAGCAGAGCCAUUUGUAAG